rnacentral:rRNA from 1 species
ACUGCUUUUAUGUGGGAAUAAAUUGGCGCACGUGUGCGCCAUUGCAUGUACCUCAUGAAUAAGGACCGGCUAAUUCCGUGCCAGCAGCCGCGGUAAUACGGAAGGUCCGGGCGUUAUCCGGAUUUAUUGGGUUUAAAGGGAGUGUAGGCGGUCUGUUAAGCGUGUUGUGAAAUUUAGGUGCUCAACAUUUAACUUGCAGCGCGAACUGUCAGACUUGAGUACACGCAGCGCAGGCGGAAUUCAUGGUGUAGCGGUGAAAUGCUUAGAUAUCAUGAGGAACUCCGAUCGCGAAGGCAGCCUGCGGGAGUGUUACUGACGCUUAAGCUCGAAGGUGCGGGUAUCGAACAGGAUUAGAUACCCUGGUAGUCC